rnacentral:rRNA from 1 species
AAAUUGAAGAGUUUGAUCAUGGCUCAGAUUGAACGCUGGCGGCAGGCCUAACACAUGCAAGUAGAACGGUAACAGGAAGCAGCUUGCUGCUUCG